rnacentral:rRNA from 1 species
AUUGAACGCUGGCGGCAGGCCUAACACAUGCAAGUCGAACGGUAACAGGAAGCAGCUUGCUGCUUUGCUGACGAGUGGCGGACGGGUGUGUAAUGUCUGGGAAACUGCCCGAUGGAGGGGGAUAACUACUGGAAACGGUAGCUAAUACCGCAUAACGUCGCAAGACCAAAGAGGGGGACCUUAGGGCCCCUUGCCAUCGGAUGUGCCCAGAUGGGAUUAGCUAGUAGGUGGGGUAACGGCUCACCUAGGCGACGAUCCCUAGCUGGUCUGAGAGGAUGACCAGCCACACUGGAACUGAGACACGGUCCAGACUCCUACGGGAGGCAGCAGUGGGGAAUAUUGCACAAUGGGCGCAAGCCUGAUGCAGCCAUGCCGCGUGUAUGAAGAAGGCCUUCGGGUUGUAAAGUACUUUCAGCGGGGAGGAAGGGAGUAAAGUUAAUACCUUUGCUCAUUGACGUUACCCGCAGAAGAAGCACCGGCUAACUCCGUG